GCCCAGAUGGCGGAAUUGGUAGACGCACCAGGUUCAGGUCCUGGCGGUGGCAACACUGUGGAGGUUCGAGUCCUCUUCUGGGCACCA
rnacentral:tRNA from 13 species